rnacentral:lncRNA from 1 species
AAGAAAAACAGAGUAAAUGACUAUUUUAAUUUGCUUUCAUUAACUCCAUGUCUUAUGUGUUAAUUCCAUCCUCUUAUUAGAUACAAUCUCAAUUCUCUUUUGCAAGCUAAAAUGUUAAUCCCUUUUUGCAUUUCAUCUUCUUUUUUCUUCUCUUUGCUUUUUCUUUUAUUUUUCAUUAGUGAAAGUUUUAUGUCUCAAUAGUUAAAUUUGAACCUCCAAAUAUUGUGGAG